rnacentral:rRNA from 1 species
AGUGAACGCUGGCGGUAGGCCUAACACAUGCAAGUCGAACGGCAGCACAGUAAGAGCUUGCUCUUACGGGUGGCGAGUGGCGGACGGGUGAGGAAUACAUCGGAAUCUACUUUUUCGUGGGGGAUAACGUAGGGAAACUUACGCUAAUACCGCAUACGAUCUACGGGUGAAAGCAGGGGAUCUUCGGACCUUGCGCGAUUGAAUGAGCCGAUGUCGGAUUAGCUAGUUGGCGGGGUAAAGGCCCACCGAGGCGACGAUCCGUAGCUGGUCUGAGAGGAUGAUCAGCCACACUGGAACUGAGACACGGUCCAGACUCCUACGGGAGGCAGCAGUGGGGAAUAUUGGACAAUGGGCGCAAGCCUGAUCCAGCCAUACCGCGUGGGUGAAGAAGGCCUUCGGGUUGUAAAGCCCUUUUGUUGGGAAAGAAAAGCAGCAGGUUAAUACCCCGCUGUUCUGACGGUACCCAAAGAAUAAGCACCGGCUAACUUCGUG